rnacentral:rRNA from 1 species
CAGUAGCCACGGUAAUACAGAGGGUGCGAGCGUUAAUCGGAUUUACUGGGCGUAAAGCGUGCGUAGGCGGCUUUUUAAGUCGGAUGUGAAAUCCCUGAGCUUAACUUAGGAAUUGCAUUCGAUACUGGGAAGCUAGAGUAUGGGAGAGGAUGGUAGAAUUCCAGGUGUAGCAGUGAAAUGCGUAGAGAUGUGGAGGAAUACCGAUGGCGAAGGCAGCCCCCUGGGCCAAUACUGACGCUCAUGCACGAAAGCGUGGGGAGCAAACAGGAUUAGAGACCCCGGUAGUCCCUGUCUCUUAUAC